CAAUUAUAGAACGCAAUUCCAUGCAUGCGGCAAACGAUAUUUUACGACGAAAAUCACUCCUUUACUGGAAUUUCCGUGAUAGAUUUCAUCCCUGUGUUAACGUGUGAGAACAUGCUGAUAUUAAAUUGGUUGUAAUACCUCGAAAAAGCUCUGAAAAUGGAUUGGAAAGUCGCACGACAUGCUUUGUUUAUGUUGGUUGCAUAUUUUUAUCUUUCAUCUAUAAAAGGCAAUAAUGCUACAACGACAACUGGUAAAGUACUUUGUCUGUCAAUUAUUGUACAAUUUUGCAAAGCAUUUCGGUUUAAAAUGACUCAAAAAUAUGCCAAAUUGUUCAAGGAAGUAGAUUUAGGUUUCGCUUUCCGAAUAUACCCAUCCCAAAGCAAAAAUAUUCAAUUUAGUCAUGAACAUUUGUCACAGACUUGUCAUUUUAAGCUUCGACAAACACAUUAACGCAAAUAUAAAUCACGCUAAAUGAAUACUUUUUGUUUAUUUAGCAAUUUGUGAAAUGCCUGUAUUAUUAAUAAUAAAGUGAAAUAUAAGUAUAUAUUUGGUUCUUCUAUUACAUACUGUAAUACAAUAUGCAUGUAUUUAUAAAUAUAAACUUCAGAGAAAAAUAAGGAACGAUUGAGUACAAGCACUCUCCCUCCCCUAGACAAGUAGAAUUGUCUGUGUUUAUAGACAGAAUUAAAAGGUAGGGCGUGUUAGGGCACAAUACAUCUCAAUCGGUUAACUAAUAUGGCAAAUAGUCUGAUAUUAAUCCAUUGCUAUACUGUUUUAUUUAAUGAUAUUUCUGUCUGUCGUUAUAGGUCCCACCACAAAUGCCUCAACAAUACAACCUAAUACCUCAACUCAAUCUAAUACAACUAUCAGUAUGACUAUAGCCACCACCUUCUCAG